CCCAUGGGGGCUUUUGGGGUUGUGUGGGGCUGAACCCCACGGCCGCCCCUCUGUGCCCCACAGAUCUGAGCAUGUCCCGAGCCCACCAGGAGGGGGAGCGCCGCGGGGGAAGCACAGACACAGAAAGAAAUGGACCCGACACGAACCACCAGGCCCAGCAGCACAACGCCCCCCCCUUCACCCCACCUGGAGCCAAGG